rnacentral:lncRNA from 1 species
GGAGACAUGUGAACGAAUGGACGAAACUGCCCUGAAUCAAACUUCCAAGCAUUGAUGUGGUCAGCUAUGGGGUCCCAUUCUUGGUAGUAGCUUCCGAGUUCCAGAGUCCCAUGGAAGACAGGAGAUACCCGAGAAGACCGUCUAUAAGAGGAGGACUUAUUUUGGCUCCCAGUUUCAGAGGCGUCAGCCCCAUCUAGCUGUUCCAGUGUUCCCAGCCUGGAGCAGGUAGAGCUUUGUAGCAUGGCUUACACCAUGGAGGCCAAGAAGCACGGAGAAGUAGAAGGAAGAAGCCAUGUUAGAUGCCCUGCAAAGGCUCACCUCUAGGCUGCUGCUUUCUUCCAUAGGUCUGCCACCUCCCAACGGUCCAUUCACGCUCUGGAUCCUUGGAUGAAAGCAGGGACUAGACCAGGACCUCUCAGGUCAAGCUCCCCCCAGAAGUGUGCUUUUUCUUUUCUUUUUUUUUUAAAUCCUAGUGGAUUCUGUUUGCGGAGCAAUCUUUGAGGAAGAUCUUGAGGAAAGCUGAUAAAUGAUUGCCUAGCCUGCAGGACACUGUGCUGGGGGUUGGGGGGGGCGGUCUUCAUCCUCACGUCUUCUCAAGAAGUAGAAGAUGCCUUAUCCACUUAACUGACAAAGGAAUAAGGCUCCGAGUGGCUGGCCAAUUUGCUUAAAGUCACAAAAGCAGAAGUAUGAUUCAAACCC